UGCUUUUCUUCGUAAAUAUAACACUGUUAACUACUAAUUUGAGAAUGAAUCAACUUGUAAUUUUUUCCUGCUUACUUGUUGUAAGCAUGGUUGCUGGAGCUCCUUCACGAGCGAAUGUUCGAAAACUUGUAGAUGAUAAGCCAUUCCAGGUUGAAGAUUGUGAAGAUGUAUAUGGUGACUCCUCUGAAGCUACUUGCAGAGCAUUAUUUUCUCGGUAUUAUUGGAGCGUUGAAAAAAAAGACUGUGUCGAGGAUACAAGCGGAUGUGCUAACACUAAAAAUAAUUUCAUAACUAAAGAUGAUUGUUUGAAAGUUGCAAAACCAAUUUGUUUAACAAACUAAAAAUUUUAAAAUAAUAAAUUCGAUUCUAUAAAUCUA